AUGAGGCUUAGGCAAGGUGUUUUACGGUGGUGUGAAGUGUUGAUGUCGUUCACAACAGUGUCGGAAAUUGACAAGAGUUGCGAUGAUGAAACUGGACGAAGAAGGACAUCGUAUCAAAGAAGGUUAGGGUUCGGUCGUCUCGAAUUGAGUCAGAGUGUAGCGAGAUUGAACGGAAAGAGAACACAAAAUUGUGAGGGAGAGAAGGAUCCGCCGUUCACCACGAGGAAGCGGCGCCGUUGA